rnacentral:rRNA from 1 species
GAGGAAUCUUGCGCAAUGGGGGAAACCCUGACGCAGCGACGCCGCGUGGGUGAGGACGUUCUUCGGAAUGUAAAGCCCUUUUGUCGAGGACGAAAUUGACGGUACUCGGCGAAUAAGCCCCGGCUAACUACGUGCCAGCAGCCGCGGGAAUACGUAGGGGGCAAGCGUUGUCCGGAUUUACUGGGCGUAAAGAGCGCGUAGGCGGAAGUUUAAGCGGUGCUUGAAAGCCCCCGGCUCAACCGGGGAGAGUGGUGCCGAACUGGACUUCUUGAGGGCGAUAGAGGAGAGUGGAAUUCCGGGUGUAGCGGUGAAAUGCGUAGAGAUCCGGAGGAACACCAGUGGCGCAGGCGGCUCUCUGGGUCGGCCCUGACGCUGAGGCGCGAAAGCGUGGGGAGCGAAC